rnacentral:rRNA from 1 species
UACGUAGGGUGCGAGCGUUGAUCGGAAUUACUGGGCGUAAAGCGUGCGCAGGCGGUUUUUUAAGCCAGAUGUGAAAUCCCCGGGCUUAACCUGGGAAGUGCGUUUGGAACUGGAAGGCUAGAGUACGGCAGAGGGGGGUGGAAUUCCACGUGUAGCAGUGAAAUGCGUAGAGAUGUGGAGGAACACCGAUGGCGAAGGCAGCGCCCUGGGCCAGUACUGACGCUCAGGCACGAAAGCGUGGGGAGCAAACAGG